rnacentral:rRNA from 1 species
UACGGGGGGGGUAAGCGUUGUUCGGAAUUACUGGGCGUAAAGGGCUCGUAGGCGGCCAACUAAGUCAGACGUGAAAUCCCUCAGCUUAACUGGGGAACUGCGUCUGAUACUGGAUGGCUUGGAUCCGGGAGAGGGAUGCGGAAUUCCAGGUGUAGCGGUGAAAUGCGUAGAUAUCUGGAGGAAGACCAGUGGCGAAGGCGGGUCUCUGGACAGUUCCUGACGCUGAGGCGCGAAGGCCAGGGGAGCAAACGGG